UCAAGAGCUAAUGUUCACAUGUAAACAGCAGCUCAUGUAGUGCAGAGAUUGUCCAGUCAACAAGCAUGUAGCGUAGACUGUCCAGGCGACACACGUACUUAGGUAUCGUCAUGAGCUAAUGUUCACAUGUAAACAGCAGCUCAUGUAGUGCAGAGAUUGUCCAGUCAACAAGCAUGUAGCGUAGACUGUCCAGGCGACACACGUACUUAGGUAUCGUCAUGAGCUAAUGUUCACAUGUAAACAGCAGCUCAUGUAGUGCAGAGAUUGUCCAGUCAACAAGCAUGUAGCGUAGACUGUCCAGGCGACACACGUACUUAGGUAUCGUCAUGAGCUAAUGUUCACAUGUAAACAGCAGCUCAUGUAGUGCAGAGAUUGUCCAGUCAACAAGCAUGUAGCGUAGACUGUCCAGGCGACACACGUACUUAGGUAUCGUCAUGAGCUAAUGUUCACAUGUAAACAGCAGCUCAUGUAGUGCAGAGAUUGUCCAGUCAACAAGCAUGUAGCGUAGACUGUCCAGGCGACACACGUACUUAGGUAUCGUCAUGAGCUAAUGUUCACAUGUAAACAGCAGCUCAUGUAGUGCAGAGAUUGUCCAGUCAACAAGGAUGUAGCGUAGACUGUCCAGGCGACACACGUACUUAGGUAUCGUCAUGAGCUAAUGUUCACAUGUAAACAGCAGCUCAUGUAGUGCAGAGAUUGUCCAGUCAACAAGCAUGUAGCGUAGACUGUCCAGGCGACACACGUACUUAGGUAUCGUCAUGAGCUAAUGUUCACAUGUAAACAGCAGCUCAUGUAGUGCAGAGAUUGUCCAGUCAACAAGCAUGUAGCGUAGACUGUCCAGGCGACACACGUACUUAGGUAUCGUCAUGAGCUAAUGUUCACAUGUAAACAGCAGCUCAUGUAGUGCAGAGAUUGUCCAGUCAACAAGGAUGUAGCGUAGACUGUCCAGGCGACACACGUACUUAGGUAUCGUCAUGAGCUAAUGUUCACAUGUAAACAGCAGCUCAUGUAGUGCAGAGAUUGUCCAGUCAACAAGCAUGUAGCGUAGACUGUCCAGGCGACACACGUACUUAG